CUCGGGCAUGUGCUUGAUGGAUUUUUGUAUAACAUGUGAUAACAUGUGAUCAUUGUCCAUACUUUUAUUUGUCUCCAGCCCUCCUGCUCUGAAAUGAUUACCGCAGGAGUAGCCAAGGAUUUCUUCCUGGCAGAAGUCUCUCACGGUUUAAAUAAGGAUGCUUUGGAGGAGUUGGAAACUGGGCAGUGAAAUCCUUUCCACCAGGUAGCUCCUGUCACUUACACUGACACCACGCACGUACUAAACCAAAUUCUUUCACCUUUGUUGUCAAGCUCACUCAUACAUGAUGAAAAAGACUUACGAUUGGACGUGGGCAGGAAGAAGGUGGACUCCAAUGCUAUAAAAGUUGUUCAAAAGCACUUGUUCAGUUAAAGAAUAUAUAAGUUUUGUCUGGUAGCACUUUGUCCUGGAUUCAGAAAUGCAAUGAUUUCAAACUGUAGUUGCUUCCUUAUAAUUAACCAAGCACAGAAGCUGAGCCCAUGAAAAUUGUACAGUAAACACUACUGCUUACUGGCAUAGUGGAAAGAACAAUGAGAGCGCAGAAUCCUAUGUUAAAGCCUAAGAACAACACAAUAUACUGUAUUUUGGGGGUGAUUCCAUUGUGCUGGUAUAUUUGAUUUAGGGAGAAAUAGAUGUUUUGGUCAACACAGAAACAAAUUCACCCCUGCCAUUAUGUUUGGGCUUUUCAGCUGUCCCAUGUAGUGUGUUUGCUGAAGUCUGCCUCAGCAGUUAGGCAGGAGGUUAGCUAUGCUGCAGCAGACCUGUGAAAAGCAAUUUAAUGAUUUAUUAGAUCUAUUGAAUACAGCUUUUGAAAAGCAAACAUAGCCCAUUGCAAGAACACCAUUAGUGGCACAUAGCAAUUUGCUUCACUAAUGUUCUCCUCUGACACCUCCCAAGGCAUGUCAAAAUAACACUACAGUAGCACUUGGUCACGCAGGCUGUACUCUCCUGAAAAAUAACACCAGGCCAAUCUAGGAUGAAGGAGAUGCAGUCAUCUCAUUUGCAGUGUGAAUACUUGAAGGGAGCCUCUGAUUUCAUGACUGAAUUUCAAACAACAGAUGAACUACAAAAUAGAGAUUGUCUUACAAGCCUCCACAUCUCCUUGUCAGGCCCAGCAAAAAAGGCCAGGUUACUUGAUUUAACUUCAGGCCUUGAGAUCUGCAGUGUUGUGAUGAAAAACAGGUCACAGAUAAGAUAAGCUGACAUUGAGCGACAUUGCUUCAAUUAGAGUAGAAAUUAUAAAGCUAGCAUUGGAAAAACAUGUGGCAGCUGGGUGAGGAGCACUAACACAGCACAAAAGCUGUGCUAAAUGUUCAGUUUGGCAAAGGUCCUGGACGUGCCUUUUGCAGCCAUGGUGUAUGUCAGAUCAUAUAUAGAAGGCAAGAUGAUGAAGUUUAACUUGGCUGAUCAUAUAGAAAUAUGCCAACAGUCAGGAACAUAUUGUUCAAACAGGGAAGAUGGACUUGAAUGUGCCCUAAUAAGCAUCAACAUGGCCCUUCUGACCUAUGUCACUGAAGCUCUUGUCUCUGGGCUACAAGUGAAUUCUGUUAAGAACCUCAAACAAAGCAAACUCUCUAGCCACCGGCUCCCCUUUUGGCAUCCAAAAGGAAUCAUGCUAGGUAGUAUUUCAGAAACCUGCUGAUCUCCAUCCUAAGCCUGAUAGGUUUUUUGCCUUCGCCAUUUCCUAAGAAAAAUUGUUUCAGAGCCUUUCAGUUUGAUGGCUUACAAACUAUAUCUGGUUUCCAGAUUAAGGAAAAAGAAAAGCAAACACCUUUGCAAAAGCUGUUGAUCACUCCACCCACACUGUGUUGACUUUCUGGGUGUAGAUGGUGUGUGCACCAAAUAUGCAAAUUAGCUCUACGUCCUUUACCUAAAAAAAGCUCUCUCAACACCCAAUGUUUUUGGUUCUUAACAAACAUUAUUAACAUUUUUUAAUAUAUAUAUAUUUAAUUAUUUACAGUCAAGAGGAUUAUGGUUGCAUGUAGGAAUUAGAAAAGCUAGAAAAAGGGUAUAACAUGAUUGAUAUGCAGUCACAUGGAUGUAUUAUUAAUGAAUGUUAUGCUUUAUUGUAAACAAAUGAUUAAUUCUCUCUUUACCCAGGUGGGUUUUGUUUUCUUAUUUCUUUUCUUCAUUACUGUUAUAUUGACUUGAGCUAAUUUUGUCCUAGUUUAUGUUGGCCUAAGUAAAAACAGAAAAACACCCAGUAACAUCUGCAGUAGAAAUAUAGCAUUGCUUCAAACGGACUUUAAGGACAAAGUAAUGUGCAAUACUUAAUAUUUUCUCUCCACGUGCAUAUGGUAUGCUAAAACCAAUGCAAAGAAAUCCAUGAAAAGAUAAUGAGACAUUCCAUAACUAAUUGUAUAAACGCAUUAGGAGAAUGCCAUUGGUGAUGUAAGUAGACCCUGGUGCAAGCAGAAGAAAAAAAAUACACCACCUAUGAGGAAAUCAGAAAUUAUGUCUAAAAGAAUGAAGAAACAUUUAAGAGUAAUUUAGCAUAGCUUUAAUAAUUACAGUAAAAUUAUCAUCAUCCUGAACAUUCUACCAUUUAAUGAAAUGGAAUGCCUUUGAGUAUUUUAUCUUCAGGACCGAUUUAAAAGUCAUUUUUCUCCAUGUUAUCCUUACAUCCAAAACUAAUUUCCGGUAAAUGACAAACACGUUUAUCCGGGACUGACAUAUGGUCAGCCUCUACUCCCAGGUAACAGUGAUAGGACAAGAGGGAAUGGCCUCAAGUUGUGCCAAGGGAGGUUCAAGUUCGUUGUCAGGAAACAUUUCUUCUCAGAAAGUAUGGUGAUGCAGUGGCAGAGGCGGCCCAGGGAGUGGAGUCACUGUCCCUGGAGGCGUUCAAGAACCAUGAUGUGGCUCAGUGGGCAUGCUGGGGUGGGUUGACAAUUGGACUUGGUGAUCGUAGAUGUCUUUCUGAACCUUAAUGAUUUGAUGAUUCUAUGGUUGAACUAUCGAUUUUUUCCUUAAAGUUUCACACCCGUGGUUGCAGUUUUCUCUCUAUCAAAACAUGAGAAUGCAUCUUGGUGCUAUGAAGUGUAAUAUGAAUUUUUAGCUUUUAAUUUGUUCUGUUGAUUGUGUUGUUAUAAUUAUGCUCUCUUGAUAUUGUAAAAGAAAGAUCAAGGCCUGCCAGAAUGAAUGAAACAGCAAUUUAUAAAGUUUCACUUCUGGGAUGUUGACAGUACCCAUGGUACAAUUUCAAAGCCAGAGCACAAAUAAUACUAUGAAUAUAGCAAUACAAUAAUCUAAUCUAAGUCAAACAGUUUUAAAGAAAAUCACUUCUUGAAUUUUUUUUCACCUUGGCAGUUUGUCUCAUUUAAAAAUACUGCAGAUGGUUCAGAUGAAGGUUAUUUUCUGAGACAGUGUUGCAAACCUCGAACCUUUUCUCAAAAAAACCUAAGAUGUGUGUAAAAUCAGCUGAACUAACACCUCUGUUUGUUUGACUGUGCUUCCAUAGAGAGGAAGGGCACUUGCUGCCGGCUGCAGGAAGCCCUCUCUGGAGGAGGAGAUGGCUCCUUCCCUCACAGUAACUGCACAGCCUUGGUGGGGAGAAGGUUUGGGAGGGCAAACGGUGCUAGAGGAGUGUGAGAGACAUAAGGUGAGCUUGAAAUGGGAGUGCAGAUGGGAGAGGAGGUGCAGGGGCCUUCGGUUGACCCAAAGCUGACUUCAGAUGUGAGGGUGAGGAGGGCUUCCCAGGACCAUGCAGGGAGCUGGCCACCACAACUGUGCCAAGGGAAGGACACGCUCUUCUUCGACACAGCUGAAAGGGGACCUGUUGAACCCAACCUUUUAAAAUCAGCUUGGCCCAAGGGCUCUGCAGUUCCUCUUGAGAGCAAUCCUGUUGCAGAUUAUUACUUAGUUUACUAAAUUCCAGCUCCAUGGACUGGAAGCAUCUGUUUGUUUGUUUGUUUGUUUUGUGUUUUGUUGUUGUUGUUGCAUAGGAGAGCCCUUUUUGCUUUAA
rnacentral:lncRNA from 1 species